GGCAGUUUCUUGGAUGAGAUCUCCAGCCGCCCAUCGGCCGGCCAUCCUGGCUCACCUUCCCCGGAGCCAGGCGGGCGGACGAUAGGCGCGGAUGGGGAUCUGGCCCAAGAAGCACCAAGGA
rfam:Pseudarthrobacter phenanthrenivorans Sphe3 chromosome, complete genome.